UGAAAUGCCUUUGGCAUGUAUGUGUGCAA
rnacentral:piRNA from 1 species